ACUCCUACGGGAGGCAGCAGUAGGGAAUAUUGGUUCAAUGGGCGAAAGCCUGAACCAGCCAUGCCGCGUGUCAGAUGAAGGUCCUCUGGAUUGUAAAUGACUUUUCUUACGGGAAGAAUGAGCCGUCUGCGGACGGAAGUUGACGGUACCGUAGGAAUAAGCACCGGCUAACUACGUGCCAGCAGCCGCGGUAAUACGUAGGGGUGCAAGCGUUGUCCGGAUUUACUGGGUUUAAAGGGUACGUAGGCGGUUGUGCCAAGUCUGGGGUGAAAGUUUGCAGCUCAACUGUAAAAUUGCCUUGGAUACUGGUCGGCUAGAGUAGUGGAGCGGUGGCUGGAAUUUAUAGUGUAGCGGUGAAAUGCUUAGAUACUAUGAGGAACACCAAUUGCGAAGGCAGGUCACUGGUCACUAACUGACGCUGAGGUACGAAAGUGUGGGGAUCAAACAGGAUUAGAUACCCUGGUAGGAUAGCG
rnacentral:rRNA from 1 species